rnacentral:rRNA from 1 species
UACGUAGGGGGCAAGCGUUGUCCGGAAUCAUUGGGCGUAAAGAGCGUGUAGGCGGCUUUACAGGUCCGUUGUGAAAACUCGAGGCUCAACCUCGAGACGCCGGUGGAAACCGUAAGGCUAGAGUCCGGAAGAGGAGAGUGGAAUUCCUGGUGUAGCGGUGAAAUGCGCAGAUAUCAGGAGGAACACCCGUGGCGAAAGCGGCUCUCUGGGACGGUACUGACGCUGAGACGCGAAAGCGUGGGGAGCAAACGGG